rnacentral:rRNA from 1 species
GACGAACGCUGGCGGCGUGCUUAACACAUGCAAGUCGAACGGAAAGGCCCUGCUUUUGUGGGGUGCUCGAGUGGCGAACGGGUGAGUAACACGUGAGUAACCUGCCCUUGACUUUGGGAUAACUUCAGGAAACUGGGGCUAAUACCGGAUAGGAGCUCCUGCUGCAUGGUGGGGGUUGGAAAGUUUCGGCGGUUGGGGAUGGACUCGCGGCUUAUCAGCUUGUUGGUGGGGUAGUGGCUUACCAAGGCUUUGACGGGUAGCCGGCCUGAGAGGGUGACCGGCCACAUUGGGACUGAGAUACGGCCCAGACUCCUACGGGAGGCAGCAGUGGGGAAUAUUGCACAAUGGGCGGAAGUCUGAUGCAGCAACGCCGCAUGCGGGAUGACGGCCUUCGGGUUGUAAACCGCUUUCGCCUGUGACGAAGCGUGAGUGACGGUAAUGGGUAAAGAAGCACCGGCUAACUACGUG